CUCCAUUCUACCCUUUUCUUCUCGCUACUUUUAUGUACUUCGAUCAAUGAUGAUCUUCCUAAACCGAGAAAAUCCUUUAUACCCAUAUGAAAAUCGUCGCGUGUUUUUUGUUUUUCUUUUCUAGCUGGUGUUUGUAUUCGAUCGUUUUCCUUCUGUUCUGUUCGUUGAUUAUUGACUUGUUCUUUGACUUCACCUGUAUUUAUUGCUGUGGUUUCUGCCUUCGUUUGAUUUCUGUUUGACUGCUUGGAGCUGGGUUUUUUCUGUUUAGCAUGAUCAGAUCUUUGUUCUUAUGAUUAGCUAACCAAGCUUCAGGGUCAGAGUUUAGAAUGAAACCUAAUUCAAAGAUAUCUAUAUGGGAGGGGAAUUGAUUUUUAUGCCUUUUCUGCUUCUAUUAAGACCUGAGUAUCUAAGCAAUAAUUUGAGAAACCCUUCUAUAUGUUUCUAUGUCAAUUUCAUAUGUCUUUUCCAUUUCAAAGUUGACUCAAAACCGACUUGACAAGCACUCCUAAUAUUGCUACCUCUUUGAAAAGAGAG